ensembl:lncRNA
GUUAAAUCCAUCACGCUGCUGAAAAGACAUGAAAUGCAACAGCUACCACUGCAUCCUGUAAUUCUUUGGUUCUCCAGGAUGAGAGGCUCUUUUCCAGACAGCACAGCAGGGAGUGUUAUGGGACACAGUGGUGCAGAUGCAGGCAACAUUUUUGGGAGGCCUUGCAGAACUUGAUGGCUCCGUCUGUGGGUUCCAUGACCAGCCAAGCCCCUGGAGGGACAUCACCGCCCUGGGAAGCACAGGUCACACUGCCAGCUGCUGCAAUAUUGCAGGGAAUGUAACACAAGCACGUGCGCCUUCUGCCCGUGUAAGGACAUCACAGAAUGAGUGAUGACAAUAGGGAUUGACACCCAAAUGCUAGGGCAGAAGUUCAGUGCUGGGGCCGGUAACUGAUACGAGGAGCUGCAGAUGAGACCCCAGCACAAGGAUUUGAGGGACAGCUGUGCUGAGCUCCCUCCAUCACUGGCACCGAUCCACCAUUCCCACCCAUCACCAGAAGAUCCCGAGGAGCAUCUCAGUCCCCAGCAGCCCCACCAUGUGGGCACGGAGCCCACUCCAAAACAGCCUCACUCAAUUACACCACUGUAACACCUCACCGACGGACGCACGGUUUGACUGCUGAUGGCAGAUGGACGAACACUUGUCGGUGAUCUGGUGCUGAGCGAGAGGCAGAUUUAUUUCCAGAGCCUGCUACUCUUGUUUCUUCCAAUGAAGCUGCAAGGCAGAGCAUACAUCUGUGGGUUUUUUCCUUCCAAACAUGGCUAUGCUGCAGGGAGAUCCAUCACUGAAAGCCAUAGGGUUUUGGGCCUGUUUGUGUGGGAAGGAGGAAGGCAGAAGCUGCAGCUCUGCACAGCACUGGAAGCUGCUUGACUGCACAAGUGUGGGCUGAGUUACCAAAUCUCAACCAUAGCCUGAGCCAGGAUGGAAGCUGGCUCACCAGCAAAGAGCUGCAGAGCUGCAAAGCGGAGUGAAAAGGACCGAAUAACCACAUUUAGGUGAUUUUAAUGUGCACCCUAUACAUAACAACAUCC